rnacentral:tmRNA from 1 species
GGGGACGUCAGGCUAUCGACAGAAGCUUGAUUCUAGUUAUCACAAACCGUUUGUUGAGUUCGUUAUUCUUAACACACAAGAUAAGUGUAAAAAACAAAAUCGUCGCUUUUGCAGAUAAAGUAAGCGCAGGACUAAGAGCAGCAUUUGCAGCUCCAGCCUAUGCAUACAAUUUUGCAUCAGUCUAACUAAUUGAUUUUGGUUAGUGUCUUUUAUUCUUUUCCCUAAUGAGGAAUCUAAGACAGUCGUUAUUAGGGUACGAUCUUCUAUCAGGUCAGUAGGGUAGUUGAUUGAGAUAUAUAACUGAGGAGAUAUACUUUUUGUCUAGUCUUUUAGGUAUAUCUUACUAAACAAGAUUAGAUAUGUUUGUAUAUGGUACUAGAUGAUACUUUUGGACAUGGGUUCAAUUCCCAUCGUCUCCACCA